rnacentral:lncRNA from 1 species
GGCGCGAGAGCUUUGAAACCUAUGGCUUGAAGGAGAGGUGAUGGUUUGUUGCGAUUGAGAGCAGAAACUGCGAUGGUUGAUGGAGAAGAAGAAGGUGUUCUUCGGGAAAGCAGUUUGAUUGAAGAAGAAGAAGAAGAAGAGAUUGCCCUCAAAGCAGUGGUUGAGCUCGCCAUUGCUGGUUGCGCACAGUUGAAAAUAAAAAGGUGGUGUUUGGGAAGAAGGAAAAUAAAAAGG